rnacentral:rRNA from 1 species
AUGGUCGAACGCUUCCCCGACGACGCCGCGGUGGCCAACGGCUUUGGCCGCCGCUCGCUCCAGGAGUGGGAGGCGUACCUCCUAUUCGAGGCCAACAUCCCGACGUCUGGUGGGGCGUCCCGGGCCACACAUUCCACGAGGUGCUGGCGCACCUCGAGAGCGGCAAUGACCCGCUGCUGGCAUACCCAGGAUGCCCAGGAGGUUCAGCUCCUCCUCAUCGCUGUUCGGUGUCAAGGCCAAGCCCGCCUCGGAGACGCCGCUUGGCCGGCGCACCCGCAGCACCGGCAUCAUCAUCAACGAGGGCGGCAGGCGCCCCCCUCCCCCUCGGCUCCUCUGCGCUACGUCAAGCCAAAGACGGAUCUGGGGCUCGCCGCCGUCAAGACGGAGCCCGGGCUCGCCGCCGGCGUCAAGGAGGAGGAGCUCGACGACGCGGCGGCUCUCAAAUGGGUGCGCGAUGACUGGCGCAGCUGGAGCGCCAGCGCGAGCGCCUCGCCUACGAGAGUUUCGAAUCUCGGUGCCGUGGCUGGGACAAGGGAGGCGUCGUCGUCCUCGACGAAAGUGAUGGCGACGCGCCGCCGCCACCGGUCCGCCAUGGAGACGCGGGGCAGGGGUCUAGCAGGGGUGGCCGCGCCAUCAAGAAGUAGAAGGCCAACGACAACGCCGACAACGAGGAUGGCGGCGACGUCGGCGACUUCGCCGCGCUGA